CCUCCCACGAGGGGUUAUGGGCGUUAGAUAUCUAGACAGAAAACAACAAAAGAAUUCCACCCUCCCUUCCAUUUUCUUGUUGUGAAUGCGUUAUUGUUUCAGAGCCUCAGCUUCUACCCUAGACAAUAAUGCAAUUUAUCCUUCUGCAUACAGGACUAGGAGGUGAGUCCAAAGCUAAUUGAGUCCAAAGCUCACUCCUCUGACAUGUCAACAGGUGCCGUGAACUGUUUCUCCUCCGAAAUGGCCCUACUGCUUCUCUUGUUACUUUUGCUGUCUCCUGGCACCAUGAACUGUU